AUGCUGAGGAUUUCUAAAAUCAUAUUAUCGGGAAAGAAAAUGAAAUUUCCCAGGAAUACAUCGAUGGCAUACAAAAGCCCAAGUCUGCAGCGGCGAGCCACACACACGAGGCAAAAAGCCCAGGCCUGCAACGGCGACAAAGUCGAUCAUCCGCAUCGGGGACGCUCCGCGACACGAAAGGACACCGAGAUCCACGUCACCGCCUGCCCCUCUUUAUCCACCACGGAUUUUCUUAAAAAUAAACAGCGGAGAAUAAAAAAGAGGAGAGGAGAGGGGGAGAAGAACAACAACACCUCCGAUAGUCCGAUCUCACACCCACCCCCGGCCUCGCGAUCAUCCCCUCCCCCCCUUGGACAGGCCUCCCGAAUCCGGACCCCCCCAACGCGCGCAGCGGGACGAGGACCGACGGGCGGGGCACAGAGAGGCCGGGGGUGA
rnacentral:rRNA from 1 species